UACGAAGGGGGCUAGCGUUGCUCGGAAUCACUGGGCGUAAAGCGCACGUAGGCGGCCCGGUAAGUCCGCUGUGAAAGUCGGGGGCUCAACCCUCGAAUGCCGGUGGAUACUGUCGGGCUAGAGUGCGGAAGAGGCGAGUGGAAUUCCUGGUGUAGCGGUGAAAUGCGCAGAUAUCAGGAGGAACACCAAUUGCGAAGGCAGCUCGCUGGGACGUUACUGACGCUGAGACGCGAAAGCGUGGGGAGCAAACAGG
rnacentral:rRNA from 1 species